AGCCAUCCUCAAAGGCUGCUGGGAGGUUGUCUAUCUCAGCCUGGUAGACCUUCUGGUCGAUGCAUUCCUUCAUGUUCUUGAAGAUGAUGCUUGUGUGAGGUGCUGGUUGCCAGAGGCUGACACUCAUGGUGAUGUGCCUGUGCCUGAUACCCUGGGCAGCCCAAGGAGUCGAUAUUACUGACACUGUGAUUGCUAGUCUUGCUCCUCACAGCAGGGACCGAAGCCUCCCAGACCCACAGUGCCCUUGACACCUUCGCACCAGGAGACUCAUGGUUACCUGAGCCCAGGAGAGCAGAUGGAACUUAACCAAAUCCCCCCAGGUUCCUGCCAAGGCAACCAAAACCCUUGGCCAGGCUCACCGGCAGGAGCGAUCUGACAUGGCUGCCUCACUGGGAGAUGCUCCUGCAGCUUUCGCAACCUCCUGUCCCCUCCCAGGUAAUGUGGGGACUGCAGCAAAGGCCAUGGGGGAAAAACACGGCCCCACACACGUUGCAGAUGCCUGCAGCACGGACCUCGCUCCUGCUAAACCUUCGUCACAUGGGUUCAACUUCAUGGCUGCAGUGGAGGUGCUGCUCUCCAUCACCCACCUUGCAGCAUCCAUCACCUGGCCGUUUUGAAGGGGGGGGGGGGUUGUCCAAACCAAAGUCCUCGAGGUUUCUGUUCCAUGUUAGCAGAUUAAAAGCCCUGUCUCUCUUGCAGACAUGUCUAAAGGGAAAAUGUCUCUUGGGCUUGAACCUGCUUCACCCUUGCAGGGGUUUGCAAUUUGCUGUAAAAAUCAGGCAGGGUGUCUCGGGUGGCUUCCUUUGUGACACCGGAGCUCACCAGCAGCAAACAGGGCU